rnacentral:ncRNA from 1 species
UUCCUUCGGGGUCGGGUGAAAUUCCCAAUCGACGGUGAUGAGUUUAACUCUAAGCCCGUGAGCCACUUUUGUGUGCAGGAUUUGGUGCAAGUCCAAAGCCGACAGUAUAGUCUGGAUGGGAGAAGGA